CACCAACUACCCUCAACGGCAGCUGUAAUUAAUACUCUGAUUGCGGCAAAAUUAUGUAUUGCGUCUCAUUGGAAGAGUGACUUUAUCCCAUCAGCAAAAGAACUGCUAAACAGAAUAAACACCACAUACUGCUAUGAAAAGGAAUGGGCCAUAAAAGGGAACAUGACCAAAUUUAACAAACAAUGGAAAGGUUGGGAAACCACGUACAAACACCGCAUCGACUCGGGAUAAAUUCCGUCUCUAGAAUGGAGUGAACUCUCAGACGUCAUUUAAGGUCGCUCGGAUGUGAGGGCCUCAGGUCUCAGGCCUCAAGUCUCUUGCCUCUUGUUUCCUAUCUUCAAUGACCUAACUUCUCUCUCGUUCCUCCCCUUUCUCCCCCUCUCCUUUCUCUACUCUCUCCUUGUUUCCACUGUACUUCCUCCUCGCCUCCCCCGCCCUCUUUCCCUUUGCAUCUCACUCUUGUUCAUUAUCUCCCCUCUACCUCUUAUACAUCAACUCCUCAAACACUCCAAAAUGACUAAUCUAAAGGGCCAUCGUCUAAGCAAAUGCACAAUGGAAAGCACGGCUCUAUGGCUGGACUGACUGUCCUCACGCAAUAUAUGA